CUCCGGUGAAGUUGAGCGCGCGGUGUGUGUGAAUCAGACGCAGUGACGCGCCGCCGCUCUGAGCGCCGAAUUUAGUCGCUCCUGGAGGAUUUCGGAGAGGGGCGGUGCGACAUGUGGGGGGCAGCAUGUCAGUUGUGCACUUUAAAUAAAGUGAAGGUGAUAUGUAUGGUGAGGGGUCUUGGGGAACCUGGAGCGGACCAGGGCACAUGGUGGGGGACACCCUGGACGGGCUGCCAAGCCAUCGUAGAGCACGCACAUAUUCACACAUUAUGGACAGUGUAGAGAUGCCAAUCAGUCUAUAAUGCAGGGUUUUUUUUAGGGAGGAAACCAGAGUACCUGGAGGAAACCCCCGAAGCAGGGGAAAACAUGCAAACUCUGCGCACACCGGGCAGGGGUGGGAUUUGAACCCCCAACCAACCAUGCGAGUUUCCUGAAAGCUGUAUAAUGCUGAGACUCCCCUGACCCUGACAUUAUAAUGACCUUCAUGAUGCACAGCUUUUGGGAACUUCUGACCAAAUUUCUUCAGUCUGUUUAUAAUAUACACCAAACUCUACUGAUCUGUAUAUGUUCACAAACAAAUAAAGCAUGAUGAUGAUGAUGAGUGUGUGUGUGUGUGUGUGUGUGUGU